UUCAGCUCUGAACCUGCUGCAGUUGGAUAGUUAUAUGAGCAAUUAUUAUCAAUAAAAACAGGAUCCUGCUUUAUCUUCCUAAUUAAAGAUGUUCUUACUUCCUAGACUAUUCAUUGAGUAAUCAUAGAAGAUAGAAGAAAAACUGAUAAUUGGAUCAAGAAGAGAAGGCAUUUCCUCAGAUGAUUGGUUUUUGGGAAAUUAUGAAUAUAUGAGUUUGUGACUUUCAGUAAAAAAUGUCUUGCUGAUCUGAGAUAUUUUACCUUCUGAGACAGAAUCCUUUGCAGGACUGACAAGGUCCUCUUGAGCACAUAAGUUAGUUACAGAGAUUGGACUUGGCUCUGCAGGCAUAUCACUGGAAAUCACAUGCAGGGAACCAUAGUUAUCCUCUUCUGAAACAAAGUUGUCAGAAAUACUAUUGUCAACUGGCUUGGGCUUAUUAUAACUAUAUGGAUCAAGCACUGCAUCAUCAAUUUGAGGACCUGAAGUUAGCAUCUCUAGUGACUGGGAAGCAUCAGAUACUUCAUCUUGGAUAUCCUUGCUUAAAGAAUAUGAGUCAAGUUCAGGGAGGGAGAAUAUCCUUUCGAAGGCUUUUGGGAACUUCCUAACCUGUAAACCACUAUCUUCUUUCGUCGACACUGAACAUGCAGAAAGAACCCGUUAAGUAUCCAAGAGCAGGAGCAGUUCCAGCAGUAUCCAGAUUUUCAGCUUCCACUGUUAGAAUUUCGUCCUCUUCAUCAGUAAUUGAUUCCAUCGCCUGGGAACCAUCCUCAAUGAUAUUAGGAACUAAAGGAAGUGAACUAGACGUGGUCAAAACCAUCUCGGAGCCAGAAGCCUGUUGACCCUGCAGAUAAUUUGCUAUAAUGAAUGUUGGAUCCUGUAGAAUUUUUAGAAUUAACUCCCUGUUUGCAUUGAGUAACUCCAUCAUAUCCAAGAAUUCUUUUGAUUGAAGGAGAGCAA